rnacentral:rRNA from 1 species
UACGGAGGGUGCGAGCGUUGUCCGGAAUUACUGGGCGUAAAGAGCUCGUAGGUGGUUUGUCGCGUUGUCCGUGAAAACUCACAACUCAAUUGUGGGCGUGCGGGCGAUACGGGCAGACUGGAGUACUGCAGGGGAGACUGGAAUUCCUGGUGUAGGCGGUGGAAUGCGCAGAUAUCAGGAGGAACACCGGUGGCGAAGGCGGGUCUCUGGGCAGUAACUGACGCUGAGGAGCGAAAAGCGUGGGGGAGCGAACAGGG